AAUACUUUUCGAAAGAAAAAAAAAAAAAAAAAAAAAAAAAAAUCAGUUUAAUAUCUGAUAUGUCUCCACUUGGAGACUGUAUAUUAAAUUGAUUUUUGAAGCAGGGAGCUGGAAUAAGGGCUUGCUCUGUCUACUCCACGCAUCAUCCUGGUAUUGCAGUUUUUCCAGGAAUGGUGCACUUUCC